CGAUGAAUAAAAUGGACAUGCUCUUUCCCUCCCUCUAGAUUGUGCUUAUCCCGGCCAGGAAACGCAUUCCAGGGUUUCUCUCUUUUCCCUUCUAGGUGGUUUCCUUUGGAUAAGUGGCUGUAACAGUUGGCCAAGGUUAGCAAGUCAAGACCACAAUGCCUCGAGACUCUUGGGAGUUAAAAUUUUUAUAUCUAAAAUUGAGGAGAAGAGCAGUGACAAAGGAUAAUUUGAUGGCGAGGCAUGGGAAGAACAGCUGCCUGCAAAAUUUUGGAGGCAUUAGAGCCAGAAGUCCCUUAGAAGAUAGGCAUUGGAUCGCCGUAGGAAUUGACAAGUACAGAGGACCUGCUCUUUAUUUUAAGGUUGGUUUUAAAAAUCAUCUUUUUGAAAAUUUAUUGAAUAAAUAGAAUUAAAGAUAAAUAUA
rnacentral:lncRNA from 1 species